rnacentral:tRNA from 2 species
GGGGAGAUAGCUCAGUUGGUUAGAGCAAGGGACUCAUAAUCCCUGGGUCGCGGGUUCGAGCCCCGCUCUCCCUACCA